UAAGGAAUAUUGGUCAAUGGACGCAAGUCUGAACCAGCCAUGCCGCGUGGAGGAUGAAGGCCCUCUGGGUUGUAAACUUCUUUUAUAUGGGACGAAAAAGGGUCUUUCUAGAUCAACUGACGGUACCAUGUGAAUAAGCACCGGCUAACUCCGUGCCAGCAGCCGCGGUAAUACGGAGGGUGCAAGCGUUAUCCGGAUUCACUGGGUUUAAAGGGUGCGUAGGUGGGUUGGUAAGUCAGUGGUGAAAUCUCCGGGCUUAACUUGGAAACUGCCAUUGAUACUAGCGGUCUUGAGUGUGGUGGAGGUGAGCGGAAUAUGUGGUGUAGCGGUGAAAUGCUUAGAUAUGACGUAGAACACCAAUUGCGAAGGCAGCUGGCUACGCAGAUACUGACGCUGAGGCACGAAAGCGUGGGGAUCAAACA
rnacentral:rRNA from 1 species